rnacentral:rRNA from 1 species
CCUACGGGGGGCAGCAGUGGGGAAUAUUGGGCAAUGGGCGCAAGCCUGACCCAGCAACGCCGCGUGAAGGAAGAAGGCUUUCGGGUUGUAAACUUCUUUUAAGAGGGAAGAGCAGAAGACGGUACCUCUUGAAUAAGCCACGGCUAACUACGUGCCAGCAGCCGCGGUAAUACGUAGGUGGCAAGCGUUGUCCGGAUUUACUGGGUGUAAAGGGCGUGCAGCCGGGAAGACAAGUCAGAUGUGAAAUCCCGCGGCUCAACCGCGGAACUGCAUUUGAAACUGUUUUUCUUGAGUACCGGAGAGGUCAUCGGAAUUCCUUGUGUAGCGGUGAAAUCCGUAGAUAUUAGAAGGAACACCAAUAGCGUAGGCAGGUUACUGGGACGGUUCUGACACUAAGGCACGAAAGCGUAGGGAGCAAACGGGAUUAGAUACCCCAGUAGUC